GGAGAGGUGGCCGAGCUGGCCGAAGGCGGCGGUUUGCUAAACCGUUAUACGGUUAAUAGCCGUAUCGAGGGUUCGAAUCCCUCCCUCUCCGCCA
rnacentral:tRNA from 1 species